GCAAGGGGCGCCAGAGUUGCAACGUCGUUCAUAAUGGCUUGCAAGAAUACCUUGAUCAAUAUGAACAUAAAGGCAGACAUAAUAUAUCGUAACCUUCCACUGAUGUGUUACACGAUGCGGUUGUGUUACGGGUACGCGGACCCUUUUAAGAAUGCUACUCUACAAGAGCUGCGAGAAGAAUUCUGGGUCUGUUUGGAG